AAGGCUCCCGCCCUCCGGAGGAAGCCGCGCAAUCACUCUGGGGGCGGGGAGAGAAAGACAGCUGAAAGGAAGGAGGUACCACCAGGCACUCUCUCGCGAGAGGGCCGAGGAGCCGCCUUAAACGGGGGCGUGUGCCUGAGAAACUAAAACAUGGACUGGAAAAUUCUAAUUGUUUAUCUGUGAGAUUAUUUCUAUGAAGAUUGAUCAUCCUGGAUACUAUUAGAGGGCCUUGGAAUAUAUUCCUCUAAUUUACUCUACCUAUCCCAUUCAAAGAAGCUGAUGAUUUAGGACAAAAACCAGUUGAAGAAUUCAAAGCUCUGGAUAAUCAGGCUGAUUUUGAUGAUGGAAAUUAUCUACCUUGUGCUAAUCAAGUUAAGGGCGUAUAUGAAGUGUUCAUAAUACAUUUCCAGUUUUGGCAGUGGACUCAACAAAGUUUAGAUGAUAGCUGGAUGGCAUCAAGAAACCGUGCCUGUAACUUAAAGUGGCGCAUGAGCUAGAACAGGAAGACCACCUUCCAUCUGACAGACGCUACACAUGGCAACUGGAAUAUUCCUAGAAAUCGUGCAGGAGAGAGAAUUCCCUGAAUUUAUCACCACCUACCUGAAACUAGACCACAUUUUUCUGGCCUCCUCUUACAAUCACAGCUUUCAUUUCACAGCUCUAACAGCAACACACCAUGGAGUACAAACAGCACUGGAAAACAAGGGCCUGAUAAAACCCACAGAAAAGCUAUUCACUAAUAUUGGGACUACUUUUAGCCAUGCUGUUACAGAUCAUACUUUAUUUUGGUGCAUAAUAAAUACAGAAGAAUGUUGAAAAUGUAGGACUCAACUAUCUAAUUAAAGCUGAGUAAACUAA